rnacentral:miRNA from 1 species
AGAGGAGCUGGGAGGAUG